rnacentral:rRNA from 1 species
UACGUAGGGUGCGAGCGUUGUCCGGAAUUAUUGGGCGUAAAGAGCUCGUAGGCGGUGUGUUACGUCGGCCGUGAAAACCUGCAGCUUAACUGUGGGCGUGCGGUCGAUACGGGCAUCACUGGAGUUCGGCAGGGGAGACUGGAAUUCCUGGUGUAGCGGUGAAAUGCGCAGAUAUCAGGAGGAACAACGGUGGCGAAGGCGGGUCUCUGGGCCGAUACUGACGCUGAGGAGCGAAAGCGUGGGGAGCAAACAGG